rnacentral:lncRNA from 1 species
CAAGGCUCAACACAGGAUCAUGUACAAAGAAUUUGCCCAGGGAUAAUUCAAUACAUACACGAUCCAACAAGAAGAGAAGCACAAAGAGUGCAAUACAACAAGAGCAAGUAACACAAGUAUACAUACAAGUGCAUAAAGAGAGAUACAUCUAGCUAUUACAUCACAUUCCACUUUUCCAUCUUUGAUUACAUUUACAUUUUCAUCAUCACCCAAAAUGAAUACAUAAUCAUCUCACAUAUAUAUAAUGCUAGCUAUCCAAAAUACAUCAUGUCAUCUAUAACCAUGCACACGAGGGUGCUCUAGUACAAUAGGAAAGCUCUACUAGCUAGCUAGGGCGCUACGCCCUUACCGCGAUCACCUGCCGGUCCGCUCUCGUGUGUACCUGUACCCCAAAACCACACGGGGUGAGAACUAUAUAAAUAUAGUUCCCAGUGGGUUCGGCCGCCGACUCCGCCGAUCUUCCCACUAGGUCUAAGCUGGCACAAAUAGAUAGAUAGAGAGAUAGAUAGAUAUUGAACUGCAACUAUGAUCUAUUGUGCCAUCAAAUGCAAGCAAUGCAUGAAAUAUCAUCUAGCACUAAGCCUACUAUCAUGAUAAUAUGCUUCAACAAUGUAAUGAAUGCAAAUACAACAUAGUUAUGUAAUCCUCUAACAUAUACUAUGUCUAAUCAUGGUAUGAAUGCAAAUGCACUUAUGCAAUUCAUGUCAUUGCCCAAUCCAUUAGGCUACCCCGCCUAAGAUCUCAAAUCUCAUAGGUACUCACACCACAAUCUAGUAGGUGAAGAGGUGAAGAACUACUCCGCUCUUCGCCCCGACUGAUAUCUCAAAUCUCACAGGUGAGGAGCUACCUCGCUCUUAUCUCACCCGUCUCACAUCUCAAAGGUAAUAGAUGAAGAGCUACCCCGCUCUAAUCUCAUAGAUAUUGAGCUGCCCCGCUCAAUCUCAUAGGGGAAAGGCUACCCCACCCUUCGCCCCAACUCACGUCCCAAUCCAAUGGGUGAGGAGCUACCCCGCUCGUAUCCCACCCGAUGAGCUACCCCGCUCAUGAGCUACCCCGCUCGUGUGACAACUUCGGAGUGCACUGCUUGUGUGAAGCGACCACCACAAGCUCAAAACAGACUAUGUGAGUAUGAUCCAAUCCUCGCCAACUGAGGAUACCCUGUCAACUAGGUUAACAAACACUCGAAAAUCCACCUAUCCCUAGGUCCAUGUCAAGUGUCUCAACCACACUAAUCAAUUCACACUAGGGAAUUGAACUAUCCCUAUGUUUAAUGCCAUAGUGUCUCAAUUACACUAAUUCUUAUGCAAUAUGCCAUGACUAGGGAAACUCACCUAUUCCCUAUGCUCAAUGCCACAAGUGUUUCUAUUACACUAAAUUCCAAUGCUACUCGUCAUGUUGUUAACAUUGUUUACAUGCUACUCGUCCAAGUCAUAGUGUUUUCUAUACACUAGUUCGCAUGUCACUAGUUUUCAUCAUCAAGUCCGAGUUCACCGUUUUCUUAUCACUAUAGGAUCUCAUGUCACAAACCCUAAUCCUCAUGCAUUCUAGAUUUAAGUGUCAAGUCCAUAAUGCUACACAACUAGACAUACAUGCAAGGAAAUAGAAAUGCAACUAUACAUACAUCCUAUAAUGCAUAAGAACAAUAUAUGCAAUAUGACCAAAAAUCUAACUCGGACAUAGAAAGAAGCCCAGUUGCUUCGGGAUGGACACCCCCCACCUUUUAUCGCUAUCACAAGGCUAGGGUUCCGAUUUCGUGAUUUUUGGAAGCUUUCGCCACGAGCUGCGGCAAUCUGUACCUUAACAGCUUCGUUCUUUAAUAUCUUCACGUAGCCUCGUCGUAUCGCCGAACCGACUUCGCCAACGCGUCAGAAAACCUCUCAAACCCAAGCUCUCUUCAAACCAAUGGUGAAGAAAAAGAAAGCUUCACCUCUAAGCAAGCUUUUCUCUACCAAACUCCACACUUUGGAGCCAAUCCUAGAGAGAGAGAGAGAGAGA